ensembl:lncRNA
GGCAAUGUGAACAUGACAGGUUUUUUUCAUUAAAUUCUAAAUCCAACGGCCAACUUGUUCACUGGUGUUUGUCUGUGCAGUGUGAAUUGCCCUGAGGCUAGUUAUGACUUGCAUACUUCAAAACAAAGUGCAGUAGAAGUGUAACGUAUGUAUAAAAGGAAGUGGAAUACGUUAAAAGGAGGUGAAUAGGCUACUUGCGAGUGUAUAAAAGAUCUAUCCAAGACAUCAGUAAAAAAAGCUCUCUUGACAACCUCAAGAUUUACAAUGCCAUUUUUUGAUCAAAGAACACUGAAGGUAAAUGCCCUCAGUGCUAUCAUUCUUGCCGUUGCUGAAAAAAUGCUGGAAGAAGACUUUGUGUGUUCUUGCAAUGAGGAUUACAGAAAUGUUGAAGUCUUUUUACAUUUUUUGAUUCCUAUUCUUUUCUGCUUGGUUGUGCUUCUUCAACUGUUAGCUGAAUAUGAGCAACAAAGCUACAUGGUGAUCAAGACCUUCUUAUUUUCAGCUUUUCUGUGGAUUGUAUUACUUCUUAUUGAUGGUAGAUAUGUUGCAUGUGCCGUAUUUUCACCACAUGCUCCAUGUAACAACACAAUAGAUGUGAAAGAACUUCAAUCCACUUCAGAAUUUUUUCUAUCUAAGCUUGUAGGUUUUUUGCUGUUAUAUUCUGUGCUGCUACUAGCCUUCCUUGUAACAGCUGUUGGACACGUGAAAAAAUGGUGCAACCAGAGGAACAAUGCAAAUACAGCAUUAUACAACAGUAUAAAUCCUGAAAGCACGGGGCAACAGGAAUAAUCCAGAGUAUGGACAGUACCUGAACAAAACAACCAGAAAACCCCGAUUGAAAAAGGCUGUUAAAACCAGAUCAGUUACAGUGUAUGAAAAGUGUUACCUGUAAUAUAGCCUACAGAGAGUAAAAUUAAACACCAUUGAUUUUCAUUGCUUAUGUAUUUGUUGUACUCUAAAAUGAUUUCUUAUAAUUUCAUCAUAAACAGCUGUAUGAAUACAUUGAUGUUGUGUUAAAUGUAUGCAAAUUCAGUUAUACUAUGUGACCAUAUAUUAGAACGGAAACCAUGUUGUAAAUGCUGGGCUGACAUUUUAAGGCAAAUUUUUGUUUCACUUUUUUGCGAUUUAAUGUUUUUUUUUUUUUUUUUUUGUAGAAUCAUUUGUAGAAUCUAACAGCUGUCUAACAGUUACCUAACUGCUUUUCUGAUGUCAAAUUCUGCAUCUGUAAAAACAAUAAAACUACUGACUGCUGAUAAAUAA